AAUUUUCUAAAGUACUCAUAGUCAUUGAUUAACGGAAAAAAAGUUAUUUAAUACAUGAACUUUAAAAAAGUGGCCAAAUUAACCUUGAACUCUUGAAAUGAUCGUUUUAUACCGUAACAAAAAGUUGACUUCUAAUUUAACUUAUAAUUUAUCGUUGACCCGGCCAAAUCGAUUCACCAUUAACACUCCUUAACAGCGCUCCUAACAGCCGUUACAAAACGUGGCCUAACAAUCGUUAUCGUUGGUUUAAGGACGAAAACAGUUGUUAGUUACGCUGUUAGGAGAGCUGUUAAGAAGUGUUAACGGUGAGUCGAUUUGGCCGGAUCAACUAUAACUUAUAAGUUAAAUUAAAAGUCAACAUUUUGUUGAAAUAUAAAACGGUCACAGUUAAUUUGACCACUUUUUGAAAGUUCAAGUAUUAAAUAAUAUU
rnacentral:sRNA from 1 species